GUCCGAUUAGCUGGUUGGUGGGGUAAAGGCCCACCAAGGCGACGAUCGGUAGCUGGUCUGAGAGGAUGAUCAGCCACACUGGAACUGAGACACGGUCCAGACUCCUACGGGAGGCAGCAGUGGGGAAUAUUGGACAAUGGGCGCAAGCCUGAUCCAGCAAUGCCGCGUGUGUGAAGAAGGCCUUCGGGUUGUAAAGCACUUUGAUUGGGAAAGAAGGCCCCGGGAUUAAUACUUUCGGGGAUUGACGUUACCCACAGAAGAAGCACC
rnacentral:rRNA from 1 species